AGAGUUUGAUCCUGGCUCAGGAUGAACGCUAGCGGCAGGCUUAAUACAUGCAAGUCGAGGGGCAGCAUGGUGUAGCAAUACACUGAUGGCGACCGGCAAACGGGUGCGGAACACGUACAGAACCUUCCUUCGAGCGGGGAAUAGCCCAGAGAAAUUUGGAUUAAUACCCCAUAGUAUAUUGACCUUAUAAUGACUUCGGUCCAAAGAUUUAUCGCCAAAGGAUUGGCCCGCGCAUGAUUAGAUAGUUGGUGAGGUAAUGGCUCACCAAGACUACGAUCAUUAGCUGGUCUGAGAGGACGAUCAGCCACACUGGAACUGAGACACGGUCCAGACUCCUACGGGAGGCAGCAGUGAGGAAUAUUGCACAAUGGGGGAAACCCUGAUGCAGCCAUGCCGCGUGAGUGAAGAAGGCCUUAGGGUUGUAAAGCUCUUUCAAUAGUGAAGAUAAUGACGGUAGCUAUAGAAGAAGCCCCGGCUAAAUUCGUGCCAGCAGCCGCGGUAAUACGAAUGGGGCAAGCGUUGUUCGGAAUAACUGGGCUUAAAGCGUGCGCAGGCGGAUAUGAAAGUCAGAAGUGAAAUCCCGAGGCUCAACCUCGGAACUGCUUUUGAAACUCCAUAUCUAGAAUCCGGUAGAGGUCAAGAGAAUUCCUAGUGUAGAGGUGAAAUUCGCAGAUAUUAGGAGGAAUACCAGUGGCGUAGGCGCUUGACUGGACCGGUAUUGACGCUCAUGUACGAAAGCGUGGGGAGCAAACAGGAUUAGAUACCCUGGUAGUCCACGCCGUAAACUAUGUAUGCUAGUUGUUGGGGCCUUAAGGUCUCAGUGACGCAGAGAAAUCGUUAAGCAUACCGCCUGGGGAGUACGGCCGCAAGGCUAAAACUCAAAGGAAUUGACGGGGACCCGCACAAGCGGUGGAGCAUGUUGUUUAAUUCGAAGCAACGCGAAGAACCUUACCCACACUUGACAUCCUUCUUGGGGCUUUCAGAGAUGAGAGCUUUCGGUUCGGCCGGGGAAGUGACAGGUGCUGCAUGGCUGUCGUCAGCUCGUGUCGUGAGAUGUUCGGUUAAGUCCGGCAACGAGCGCAACCCUUAUCGUAUGUUACCAGCAUUUAGUUGGGGACUCAUGCGAGACUGCCGGUGAUAAGCCGGAGGAAGGCGGGGACGACGUCAAGUCAUCAUGGCCCUUACGUGUAGGGCUACAAACGUGCUACAAUGGCAGUGACAGUGGGCAGCAAAGUCGCGAGGCUAAGCUAAUCUCUAAAAACUGUCUCAGUUCGGAUUGCACUCUGCAACUCGAGUGCAUGAAGUUGGAAUCGCUAGUAAUCGUGGAUCAGCAUGCCACGGUGAAUACGUUCCCGGGUCUUGUACACACCGCCCGUCACAUCAUGGGAGUUGGUUCUGCCCGAAGGCCGUGCGCUAACUACGGAGGCAGCGGACCACGGUAGGAUCAAUGACUGGGGUGAAGUCGUAACAAGGUAACCA
rnacentral:rRNA from 1 species